GGACAGAGGUGGCCUCAGAGUUCUGAAAAAGAGAGAAAUUGUUUUCCUUCCUCCUCUGAGAGAGAACGUGAUCAGCUCCAGGGAGAGGAAGAGAGAGAGAAAAGAUUGGAAGCAGCAACAUCUCUCAGAUUUAUAACUUGCCUACCGAGAUUUCAUGGCCAAGAAGUGCUCUGAGUGGCAUCCCUAAAUUUCAUCACCCCGGAACAAAACUCAGUUUACUCAUCUUGUCAUUGUUGGGGUGCAGGCAUCCUGAUAGACCAAAGCAUUCCAUUCUUCUGUCUACCAGAUUCCCUAUUCCACAUUGCUCAAGGGAGAUGACACAUGGGCUGCUAUCAUCUUAGGACUGCGCCUGUGGGGAGGAGAUACAGGCCUUGUAGUUGGCCUUUCUCAUUGUCCAUCCCACUGCCGUGACUUCUGAUCAAGCCCACCCUCUUCAUAAAAGAAAAAUGCAGCUGUGCAGAAUGUCCUCAUUGAAGAAAGACAUGUCAGCAUGAAAUUGACUUAUCUUGAAGGCAGUAGAAUGUGACUCUGUCAGCCUCAAGAAUUCCAGGCACGGACCUUUUUUGUUUUUCAAAUGUUUUGUUUUGUAUCUUUGUCUCUAGAAGAGGGAAAGGGAGAGCUGUAUCCUGUUUGACACCACCCAUCGCUAAAACAAGAUAAUAUCUCUAGAGCACUUAGCACAGUGCCUGGCACACGGAAACUGACCACUUCUUCGACUAAAAUGUGAAGACAGAUUCUCUCUCCUAGUUCUGAUUCGGUAGCCAAGGGAGAAACUCAGACCUUUGCUGAAGAUGAGAAGACUGAGACUCAAGCUGACACAACUAAGAAGUAUGUGAGUUGGAUUGGAGCCCACAUCUUCCAGCAAUAUGGCGAUGCAUUUGUGAGCUGCAUCUCAUCCACACCUAACCAGCCUAGAAUUUCCCCGGUCUGCCAGAGGGCCACUGAACAAGAAGCAUCUUCGAGCUCCACGCGCCUUCUCAAGCCCAACAUCCCCACCUCUAGGCUAGGCUCUCGGCCUUCAGUCUAGCCCCAAAUCACACUGAGUUCUGAAGGAGAGGGACAGAUUCAAUUUGCUGUUUCCUUAUUCCUUUGAACUGUCCUCCACUAUUCAAUGCCAAGUCAAAAGUUUUCUGGCAUGUUUCCCACUGGAGAAAAUAACUGAUCUUUUUUUCUCAUUAGCAAAAGCGUCAGACACUGUCAGUUGUAUUGGUCUGUACAAAGAGAGUUUUGUGGUUGGGGCAGGGCGGAACGGGUGGGGGGGAGAAUGCCAGUUUGGAGGAGGGCAUUAUCUUGUUUCUCCCACCAUCCACUCCUCGCCAUUUACUGCCACCAUCUUCUCUAGGCUAUUAGAUUCCUUACUCCCAGAAGGCAGAUGUUGAGUUUGCUGUGUCUUAUUGGAAGCACAGGGGACAUUUUUAUGAGUUAUGUAACUCGUGAAUAAUAUGAUUUUUAUCCUUGAGUAACAAUUAAAUCUUCAUUUACAAGAGAACCUUUUGUUUCAGGGGGAAGAGCAUUGCCUAAUCAGAUAAACAUGAAAGGCAUCUCUCCAGAAGCAGUUCAACAUUUUCCUAAUUCUAGGCAAACUUUUAAAGUUAGGAUAAGCAUGGAGAAGAAAUAAUGCUGAAUAAGGAUAGACAAGGGAAUGGAUAUGCUAGCCUGAACUUCCACUUUUUAAUGGGAGAAAGCCAAGCAGUUCAGGAGGCAUAGCUGGUCCAUAUUCUCUCUCUCUCUCUCUCUCUCUCUCUCUCUCUCUCUCUCUCUCUCUCUCUCUGU